rnacentral:rRNA from 1 species
UACAGAGGUCUCAAGCGUUGUUCGGAUUCAUUGGGCGUAAAGGGUGCGUAGGCGGCGCGGUAAGUCGGGUGUGAAAUCUUGGAGCUUAACUCCGAAACUGCAUUCGAUACUGCCGUGCUUGAGGACUGGAGAGGAGACUGGAAUUCAUGGUGUAGCAGUGAAAUGCGUAGAGAUCAUGAGGAAGACCAGUGGCGAAGGCGGGUCUCUGGACAGUUCCUGACGCUGAGGCACGAAGGUCAGGGGAGCAAACGGG